UUNAAAUUGUGUCCUGCGGUGUCGGUCUGCCGAUUGCGGUAUGACAGGCACGUCUGCGGGACUUCUCGCCGGUGCGUCCACCGCCGAAGCGUCUCGGUCGUCCGUCGCGGUCGCGCCGUUCGCGCUCUCGGCGGAACGUUGCGGCUGUUUACUUUGAACAAAUUAGAGUGCUCAAAGCGGGCUAACACUCGCCUGAAUAUUGUACGCAUGGAAUAAUAGAAUAGGACCUCGGUUCGGUUUUGUUGGCUUUCUGAUACCAGAGGUAAUGAUUAAUAGGGACAACUGGGGGCAUUCGUAUUGCGACGUUAGAGGUGAAAUUCUUGGAUCGUCGCAAGACGGACUAAAGCGAAAGCAUUUGCCAAAGGUGUUUUCAUUAAUCAAGAACGAAAGUUAGAGGUUCGAAGGCGAUUAGAUACCGCUGUAGUUCUAACCAUAAAUGAU
rnacentral:rRNA from 1 species